GAUGAACGCUGGCGGCGUGCCUAAUACAUGCAGGUCGAACGGAAGGGCGCGGCUCUUGCUUUUCUGUUGUUAGCGGCACGCGUGUGAGUCACGCGUGUAUCCCCUCCCUAUCUUUCUGGUAUCUCUUCGAAACUCCGGCUCUAAUACCAGAGAAUCUCUUGCUCCGCAGUGUUCAAAGGUGAGAGACGGUCUUGGUGGCACUUCUAGCUGGAUCCGAGCUGCUUGAGCUGGUUGGUAAGGUACAGGCGUACCACGGCAACGAUGCAUAGCCGACCUGAGAGGGUGAUCGGCCACACUGGAACUGAGAAGCGGUCAAGACUCCUACGGGAGGGAGCAGUAGGGAAUCGUCCGCAAUGGGCGAAAGCCUGACGGAGCAACGCCGCGUGAGUGAUGAAGGUCUUCGGAUCGUAAAACUCUGUUAUUAGGGAAGAACAUAUGUGUAAGUAAAUGUGCACAUCGUGACGGUACCUAAUCAGAAAGCCACGGCUAACUACGUG
rnacentral:rRNA from 1 species